rnacentral:misc_RNA from 1 species
GGGGAAUAGGACUGGACAGCCAUAUAUUUUGCAGACCAAUGUGUAUAAGAGUGGGAUUGGUGGGAGGGAGAUGAGGCACCAGCUGUGGUUUGAUCCGACAGCUGACUUUCAUACAUAUUCACUACUAUGGAAUAGUCACCACAUUGUGUUCUUUGUCGACAAAGUGCCGAUACGAAGGUACGAGAACAGCGAUAAGCCGAACAACUUCUUCCCAAAUGAGAAGCCAAUGUACAUGUUCUCGAGUAUCUGGAAUGCUGACGAUUGGGCGACAAGAGGGGGGCUCGAG